UGCGCGUCUUANCAUGCAAGUCGAACGAUGAAACCACUUCGGUGGGGAUUAGUGGCGAACGGGUUGAGUAACACGUGGGCAAUCUGCCCUGCACUCUGGGACAAGCCCUGGAAACGGGGUCUAAUACCGGAUACUGACCCGCCUGGGCAUCCAGGCGGUUCGAAAGCUCCGGCGGUGCAGGAUGAGCCCGCGGCCUAUCAGCUUGUUGGUGAGGUAACGGCUCACCAAGGCGACGACGGGUAGCCGGCCUGAGAGGGCGACCGGCCACACUGGGACUGAGACACGGCCCAGACUCCUACGGGAGGCAGCAGA
rnacentral:rRNA from 1 species